rnacentral:rRNA from 1 species
UUAAAUUGAAGAGUUUGAUCAUGGCUCAGAUUGAACGCUGGCGGCAGGCCUAACACAUGCAAGUCGAACGGUAACAGGAAACAGCUUGCUGUUUCGCUGACGAGUGGCGGACGGGUGAGUAAUGUCUGGGAAACUGCCUGAUGGAGGGGGAUAACUACUGGAAACGGUAGCUAAUACCGCAUAAUGUCGCAAGACCAAAGA